GCUCCACUGGCCUAGUGGUUAGAGCGUCCGAUUUGGAUGCGGGAGGUCGUGGGUUCAAUCCCAGGCCGAGUCA